ensembl:lncRNA
CUUAUUUAACUAUAUCUUUCCUUGCCAGCUCAAGUGAAGGAAAAGAUGUAUAGUUAGCUGUAAAUCAUCUCUAGAAUUUCAAAAAGAGACCUACUUUUAGGAAAGGGCUUGAUUGCACAUAUUAUGUGUUUAAAGACUCCAGUUCUGCUAUCUCUGCAGAAUGUGCAGGCACACAUACACACGCUCACACACACACAUACACACACAGAGAUGUUCACUAUGAUGCUCCUCCUUCCCUCUUGUCAGCCAAAGGCCUAUGUCUAGAAACAUCUCCCUUUGCCCACUCAAAGAAGUUUAAGAGCUAAGCACUUACUUCUGCCCACCCUAAUUCAACGUUCAGGGGGAAUUUCCUGGCAGAUUGAACUUGCACUAUUAUUGUGGCUCAUUCCAUUAAAAUGUAUAUGAUGUAUAAUUUCUGUAUUUAGUAUUAUUCUUACUGUGCAAAAAAUUCUGCAGCUCUGUCUCUGCUGUUGGAUUUUGAUGCUGGUGGCCACUGAAAUCUGAGCCACUAAAGCAGUGGAAGUACAAGGGCUUCAGAACUGACAUGACACAGCUCUUGAAAAGCGGGCUCUUGAAAAAUGGGGCAUCAAGAAGUACCUUUACGUCCCUGGGGCUUAAGAGCUGAAGAAUCAUCUGGAUGUUUGAACCUAUGCUAAGUCUGACAUAACUUAGCGUUCAGAUUUCUUUUGCCACCUAGAGGGCCAGACACUGGGCGCCUUGUGCUAGGAAUGCUCUUGCGAGCUGCUCUCAUGAAUCUGAUGUCUGCGAACUGAAGAGAAAGGGAAACUCCGUCCCCUCGGGCGUGGCCAGCAAGGAGGGCCAGCCUUGAGCAAGCUGGCCCUUCUGUACAUUCCUCUUUGCCUCGGUGUUCCCUUGUGACUGCAGGAAUCAUCUGCUGUCUCCUGGCCUACCUACCUCCCAGUCCCUUUCCCUAGAGUGACACAACAGAGAACAUCACAUCCCAACUCCUCCAGGACCAGCACUGUUUAGGAGAGUGGAAUUGCCAAAGAGGAGGAUUUCUGUAGAGCUAACCUGAACAUCAAGUUCCUACGCAAACAGUGUAAAAGCUGUAGGAAAGUGUGGCGGAAAGAGAGAAGGGACACUAGAUUCUGCACAGGCCAAUCUUCUGAACAUUGCAGCCACUGCAGUAUACAACCUAAUCCUGUAAACAGAAAACAGAAUAACUUCUACUUUUAAAGGGAAGAAACUUUAUCUUAGGCUUCUUUUCUUUGGGGAUGCCUAAGAUUUCAGCUUGCCCACCAAGGAAAGGAAUGUGACAAGAUAAAAAGCUCCUCGGGUCAUCCUACCACAAUCUCCAGGUCGCUUCAGAAGUCAGAUCCACAGAAUCUAAACUUGGAUUAAGCACUGUGAGUAUAAACGGCUGGACACUCCCACCUCCAAGUGGCUUCUAUGACAGCCUAACAUAUUCCUCAGGUGUAGCCAAUGGUAGACACCCCUCCUUCAUAGUAAGAACUGGCUGUCUCUCUCUCCCAAAAUAGUAUUCACUAGCAAAAAGGACUUUCUAGGACCAAAAAGCUUUCAUCCUGACAGCUGAAAAAGAACUUGUCUAUAAUUAGCAAAGCAGCUUCUUCCAGCAGUGCCUGGUUUCAAGUAUCUGAAAUGGUUCUAACUAAACUGUGCUCCAGCUUGGCAGCAAACAGCUGUCUGACAUUGGGAAAAUGCCUUAAAUUUCCAGGCUUCAGUUUCUUCAAUUUUAAAGCAAGGGUGUUGGACAGAGUGGUCUCUGAGGUCACUUCUAACCAGAGAGAGAGAGAACACACUGGAUGAAACAACCAGUACUCCACAGGUACUGACCAGGAAAUAACUGAGAACUUGAGCCAACUGUAAUGAGAAAUUAGGAAAAUCUGUGCGUCCAAGCCAGCCUUUUACUGAAGUGAAUGUGAAAUGACUGAUACUUUCUAAACAGUAUUUUUCUGUGUCGAUGACAAACCUGAUCAUGUAUGUUACAUAAAUGCAAGAAAAAGUGCAAAAUAUAUUUUAAACUUGGGGAGGAAAAUUCAGCUUUACUAAUUGCUACAAAGUCUGUCUCCCAAAAUUGAAAAGCAAAACUACAGAAAGAUGAGUUGACAUAUAUUAAAAACAGACAAAAAACAAACCAACCCCUUUGCACCAGCCGUUUUGCAUCAGCGACAUCCGCUGACUGGUGGUUCAUCUCCCAACCCUGCACAAUGGAAAGACCUUGCCUGUCUUGGGACUCCGCAGCCCAGUGACAACCCGUCGACGCGCCAGCACCAGCAGGAACUGCACAGUGGACUGGGUGCCACCAGGCCGGCGCUGAGUCUCUUCACAUCUGGUUUGAUCCUUUGAGACCAUCUGCCCAUAUUCUUCCAUCCCCAAAUCAGCACUUACUGGAGCCCGAACAAAAGAAACAUUUAGGCCCCGGAGGCACCACCACGUUAGGUCCCAAGGAAACUGUUCCGGCUACUCCUGGAGACUGUCACUGCCUUCUCUCCACACCUUGCCCAAACCUGAGCCAGGCCUGGCCUUCAAGGUACUUUCAAACUGCCAAACCAUAAGCAGUUGUAGAAAAGGACAAAAUAUUCCUGGGUUAGCAUCCAGGUAAAUCAGCAAGAAGCUUCUUGUCCACUGGUGGCAGACGCUGGCCUUGGGACACACUGUCUGGGGCAGAACUCUCAGUCUAUACAGACGGUGCGAGCAAGGCUGUGUCGAUCCUGUCUCCUCCAGGGCUGCUUCCU